rnacentral:lncRNA from 1 species
GCCUUCUCUAGCUCCUGCGGAUUCUUUUUCUUCCCUUAAGCGCGUAGCUCCGUAGGCAUGAGAUUCGAUAUUGGAUUCGGCUUCUUUUCUUGAUACUCUACUUGCGCCUCUCUCUCUCUAUAUUCCACUCCUUUAUCUCAUUCUUAGAUACUGACACCAUAAGACUUGUUGGGGUAGUAUUUGUAAGAGGCUCGCACAUCUAGUAAUAGACUCAUAUUUGUAGUGGAAUGAGUUAAAGCAUCAAGUAGAAGACCUAAGCUGACAAACGGAAGAACUAAACCCUGUAGUAAGAGCCUGAAUACCUCCUCGAACAUUGCAUACUUAUUGCCUUGCCUUGUAGUCUUCCACUCAUUGAUUUAGUGCUUCCGCUCCUUACCCCAAAUCUUGAUACCUAACGAUAUAAGUCUCACUUUCCUUACUCCUACUUUCUGGUUUUUAGUAUUCCUUUCCUUGCUUUUAGUCUUACAACCUAUAACUUCAUUCUGACUAUCUUUGCUUUUAGUCUUAGAUGGCUAAGCUAGGCUUAGAGUUGUUGUAAGUAGUAGUCAGGAUUGCACUAAUAAGUCAAAAACUAUGCCUCGAAAUACAGAAUGAAGGGGGGAAGGGCGUAGGUUGGAGUCUAGGUGAGAGUUGAAGUAGCACUCAUUAGUAUAAGAAUGAAGAAGCUCCCCCGCCUGCCAGCGCUCUAAAGUAGUAAAUACAGAAUUCAACAAAGUCGUAAAAGAGUGCGUAGUGAAAAGAACGGAUCAGAACAGGACUCAGUAGUAUCGGAAUGACUAGCAAGUGGGUAAGUAGGUAAGUUCGAAUUAAAGAAAGAAGUCGGAAUGAAACUCUAAAGUAGGCGCACGGGCAAGUCAGAAUGAAAGUAAUAAGUAAUGGAAUAUAAGUAAAUGGAUAAAGAGUUAGACUAGUACUAGUCAGAAUGUAAGGAAGGAGUACCAGACUGAUGAGUUUGAACCCUAUUUGGAGUUUUCUUCUAUUAUGGGGCCGCCAGUGAGAUUAUCUAUUGCUAUUUUCGUUCUUGCCUGGAGUAUCGAUCCUUAUUAGUAGUGAUGUAAGUUUGGAAGCGAGCAAAGUCAGACUAAUAGAAAGGAAUGCUUGUUUAAAAGAAUGAAAUAGAAUACUGAUUGAUAUAGGGAUGGGCGCCUUAAAGGCAUUAGUUGUAGAAUGAGAUAAAGCAAAAGGAGGUUUAGGUUGAAAAGCAGUAAAGCAGUAAAGCAGGACUCAAAGCAAGCAGAGGUAGACUCGAGCUAGUAAGUAAGGAUCCAAACCCAUAGUCAAAGAAUCCAAGUCAGCAGUAAAAGAAUCCAAAUAAGGAGUUGUGGAAUAAAAUACUGGAAAGGCAGGCUUAAACAGCAGCUACAGUAUUAGAAGCGAUAGCUCCAUUCUUACUAGCAGAGGAAUCAGACUCGGAUGUAACGUACCCAACUUUCAUCUAAUAAAGGACAUAUAGGUCAGAGGUGGAAGAGAAGCUAGAGAAGUCUCUGUUUAGGAAGCAAGAUCCGAUCCGGGCUGGGGUUGGUUUAUUUACUUACUUAUGUGCUAGGCGAGAUAGAUUCCAAUUCCGUAGUUGUUGACAAGGCGCUUGAAAGGAAAGAAUCAAUUGGGUAAGCCUCAAACAGGACUUGGCGGACACAGGACUUGAGUAGAGAGAUCAGUUUCUAAGGACUAAGUGAGCUAACGGGAGCAAGAUCGGUCUACUUUGAAAUGCAUUAUUUAUCAUCGCCAAGAUGUUUUUCGAAGGUUUGUUUGAUUGACCAUUCAACUAAGAAACGGCCCUUAUAAUUAAUUGAUUCCUAACAUAUUUCUGGUUCCUUCCCUGAACUAAUUGAACAAGUUUACUUACCUCUCCUCUUGACACUAGCUGCCAGAAGAUCAACUUAUUUCCGUAUCUAUCCUGGGAAAGAAAAUGAGACAUUAAACAAAUUGAAGCAUAUUUAUAGCCCCUUCAUCGCCGAUGUCCCUGGACUCCACGUACUCCUGUAAACGCCGCUGGUUCACUCUAUGGCGAUUUAGACAAGAUCGCACUUGAGACAUCCCGGAGAUCAAAGAAUUCGGCUAGGUUACCGUGGCUAGCAAAGUUCAAUGACGGAAGGAUCGGUUCAUCAUCGGGACUAGCAGCAACACCUGCGUUCAAUUCCUCGUAAAGCGGGCAACCCUAAACAUUGCCAAACCAAAAGACGUGGUGGCGCUUUGGAUUCGAGUUUUCCCUCUCUGGAAUCUUAUGAGUAUGGGUUUUGCUAGUGUAGUAACUCCUUAAAUGUGGGCGAGGAACUCUCUUCUCGAGUCGUAAGCCACUUAUUCAUGUGGUAGUGUUACCCAAGGUGUUCUUUAAGGGCUCAUAAGAGUUUUCCUCGUCACGUCGUUCAUUAACGGCUAAGGCCUGGUAACAUGAAUGAACCUGGUAACAUGAAUGAACCCGGCGGCUGGUUAUGGAGGGGCAGCGCUUUCCAGUCGACGGAUACUGAUACAGAAAAGCGAUAUAACUCAAGAUCGGCAAUAGGCGACUCAUAGUUUGUUAAGUGACAGUUCAAAGUAAGGAUAGAAAGGUAAAAAACACAUAUGAAAGGAACGAGAGCAAGAGAGAAAUAGGCCAGCUCAUGUAGACCCGGACCAUGCAACGAGCAACUACUCUUACUAAUGUACCAAAGAAGAUCGUGGAGGAAACAAAGACAUGAGGAGCAUGAUACAAAUGGGACAUAGGAGGAAUCGAAGUGGUUUCGAAUCCAAGGUACUUACUUCACUUGUUAUGGUUCUCCUGAGGUUAAAGGAAGGGCUUAGUUCUGCGGGAUAGUUUCAGAGCAGCAAAUCUCUCUUACUAACUAGCUCCCUAAUCUAGCCCAGUUACCCUUACUAAUAGGUAUUUUGCCUAUAAUGAUGUCCUAUCCACCCUGUAGUUUUCUAUAUUCCAUUUGUCUUGCUUGUGUCUAAGUGUCUCCAAGUGAAGGAGAGGCCUAUAUAAGAAGUUGAGGCAAGGUCAGCAGUGUAUUUCUUUAGUUCUAUACCAAGUGUCAAAUCUUUUCCUGCACAAUCUGGAUCUUCUAGACUCGAAAGAAAGCAAUAAAGUUCUAGUUGAUGCGCUUGAAAGAUCUGUAUUUGUGUCCUCUGCGCAACAAGACUCAGUAUCAGUCAGCUACGAAAUUCCUAUCUCCGAAUGCUUGUGAAAGACAUUCUUCUUGAGGAGGCUUGCUCACUCGUCCGUUCUAACCCAUUGUGGAUUCACACUUAGCAAUGUAACCCUAUAACCCGAAAAAGCAGAAUGAGGCCUUUCUUACACACGCUUCAUUGAUUACACGGACUCAGGAACUUAAAGAGGCUUGAAAUAAGAGGCAACACAAAGUCAAGCAGAAAUCAUUACUGCAACUCAGAGAACUCUAGCAGAAACUUCCACCGGCGGGAAUGCUUAACGCGGGGAUCCAAAUAAAGCUGCCAAUGAUUUGGCUCAGAUGGCAUCAGGAUACAGAUUUGCUGUUUGCCUCUAUGAUCAGAUCUGAAGCGGAAAUGCCAUUAACAUUAAUAGAAUUGCGGGUAGGCCAAAAAAAACACACCGGUUAUUCUCUCAGCAGUUGGAAGAUUCAGAGGGGCUGGGCUGAGAAUGUCCAACCUGUUUAUUGCGCCUAUUCUUCUAUCCCAAUAGUUUGACAAGGCAAAAAGGCAAGCUGGAAAGUCAGAAGGCGUCGAGCCUAUUCUUGCAACAGACGUGGCAUAAUUGCUAAAGAAAUUCCUUCCAUACCUCUAAAAACGAAGUCUCCUCGUGGUCAUGGAAAGCCCCUUUGUCUUUGAUUUGGAGUUGCGAAUAGAUUACCCUAAAGCGAUCGCUAAGGGAUGUGGUUAGCUAGCUAGUUCCCCCACUACUUUAUUGAGUCUCAUUCUUUUCCUAAGUAACUUAGUGCAAUAAUUCCUAGUAAGAGCAAGGAAAAGCUAAUCUUUACUUACUAAAAAGCCUACUAAUUGAAAGAAUGUAGGAUCACUAGGAAAUUACCUUUCCAUUCUAUACUCAACACACCUUCAUUCUUCUUAUCUUGUUACUACUCCUUCACUAGCUUAUUGACCGGCUGAUUAUAUUUCUGCUUUUCCUAUUCCUACUGCUGAUUCUCUGGAAACGGAGUCUGGGCCUGAUCUUGUUCCAGCUUCAGAACAGAUAGAGUCACCUCGAACAGAACCUUUCUACCAUGGGCUUCACCUUGAUACUCUUCCUUUAUACUCCUCCGCCUAAUCACUACUUGGGAUGGGACUGUCAAUCCUUUGAGUUCGAGUCAUCUCGGCUUGGCUUCUUAAUACGAUUCAAGUCCACUUUCUCUUCCACCCUUCGCUUAGUCUUGGGCGCUGGCCAUAAGAAUACUUUGUGCGAUGAAGAAGGACUAAAAGAGAGACCUGAGAGUUAGUCAUACAUCGAUUCUUUCACGCCUUACUGAAAUUCCAUAGGACUUACAUAAGUAGAGCAGUACAUUAAUGAAUUCAUGAAAACCUCGAAAAACCAAUGGUAGAGGCAGAAGAACAACCAACGCCCGGCAGAAGAACAAACGGAACCUGCGGGCGGAUCGGAUCUUGCAACGGUAUCAAGUCAGCGGGAAGGAAAUAAGACAGACAGGAAUCGAUAAUAAGCUCUUUUCUAAACAGCUGGGGUGGUGUCUCCAGGAAAGGGAAAUUCAUGAGUUGUGUGUUGGGGAAGGACAUUCCUAUCUUAUUUAGAAUAUAUCAGUAAUAGAGAAAUUAAGCGCAUCAGUCAAAUGAACUGUUCUGUUUACGAGAUCUCAAUUCCUAGAUUCAAUUAAUUGCCCUCGAAAGAUUCCAUUCCUGUAGUUGCUGCAAGAGAUUCCCAAAAACAGGACUUGCUCAUGGCAACAUACUAACUAACAAGUCGUGGCUUGGCUCUUCUCUGUAUAUAGGAUCAAACAAGAACAGGAAAUUGAAGAGAGAGAAUAGGGCGGCGCUCUCCACUACAAAUACAGAAUGAAACAGUAAAUAGAGAAUUAGUGCGGAGGGUGCUCCCUGAAGAAAAGACGGAAGAAAAGAAUAGGGCCAAUACACUACUAAUGUUACGCGGCAGGGAGUUCUCGGAAAAGUUGAGGAUCCAUAAGGUCACUCAGGAGGGAAACCAGAGUCGCUGUCAAAAAUCCCGGUAAAACGCAAAAGUUGAUGACUUGAGGACCUCGUUAGGAGGGAAACCAUGAUUGCUACCAAAAAACACGGGGUUUCUUAAAAUAAUCUGUCUUUUGGACCUCGCUAGUAAGGAAAAUCAGGGUGCUAUGUUUUUUCCCGGGAAAACGCAAAGAUCAAGAUUUCCAAAACUCGUAUACUCGGGAUUAAACUCAUUCAAGUCCACCAGGCAAGCAUCUACUAAGUCUUUUGUUAGAGGCUUUGAAGCAGGGUUGCUAGUAGUAGGCUUGCUAGUAGUAGGGUGGAUUCUGUCGGUUGAUACCUUCUCCUGUGCCUGUUCGAGUUAGAGUGGAAGUGAGCCUACCUUUAAGGAUUGAUUGCUAGUAUCGGUUUUUAUUAGGGUUAGGGUUUCAAAUGAGCUAGAACUAGAAUACCUUAGGUAGGAAGGAACUGGCACCGAGAAAACCCUCUAUGGCUGGGUAAGAGACGGAGUUAACCUUUCAUAGUCAAAGGGCAAGCUAACCUUAGCAAGAACGGGAAGCUGUGUUCGGGAGCAAGAGUGAAAGCAAGCAGGGUGCAGUUCCGGGAAGAAGAAACAUUUUGUUCAAAGGAGUCAUCUGCCUCAAUUUGUAAAGCUGGGGUUUAUGGAAACAGGGCUUAUUAAGGCAAUAAUAUCAGUGUUGGACUCGGGUCUCUGUUAGUUAGCCCUAGCAUAGAAGGAAGCAAGUGAAAAGGCCAACAAGCAACAUAGUCAGUUGCGCGGUAGCGAGUUAACCUCCUUAGGGACAUUCUUUGACUCAAUAGCUCCAUUCUCAGUUGAUAGCACUGGUUCUGGUAGUUACUAUAUGAAGACUGGUUGGUAGUUAGUUGCAUUCUGAUCUAGUCUGAUAGGGUUCAAUUCUGUAACUCCUACUUUCCUACUAGUGAGUGUCAUUCUGAUUAUUAGCGGUUUCAUAUUAUAGGUGUGUGUUAUCGACCCCAACGCAACUCCUCUCUCCGUUACUUAUAGCUUUAUGACCGAAAUCAGUCACAGCUAAAAUGAAGCUCUUCGUUCUCAAGUAAGGUUAUGACCAAUCUUCUGCAUCUGUUAUGACCAAUCUUCUGCAUCUAGGCUAGUUUCACUCACUUACCCCUAUUUACAGCAAUUCCGCAUCUAUACCUCUGGCAACCUUACCUCUUAUUCUUAUCUUACUUACAGCAAUUCUUAUUUCUGAACUUCAAGUCCUUUGUUUGCCCCAGCGAAAUGGGAUUCCUCCCUUUGUACUAGAGCAAGAAACCCUGAGCGAGGUCUCGAUUCUCAGCCGGGUAAUGGGUACUUUAAAUACUGUAUUGGAGCCAAGCCAGAGAGGGGCAAAUACAGAUGUUGGAUCGGGUCGGGAGCUACAGAAUGAAAAGCAUGAGCAGGCUUAGAAGCACCAGUGAAAGUAUGAGUCCCGAGGUGUAGUCUCUUAGUACAAUAGUGGAUUCCUGCUAUCAGUGGUUCGACUCUUUACAGUAGUACCUAUUCUUAUAGUUUGUAGUGGUAGGCCAAUACACUGGGCAAUAAGGCUGGUCUGGUUCCAUUCUACCUCUAAUAAGUAGUGGUUUGAUUCUCUAUUUUAAGUGAAAGUCUUAGCUGUAGACAAAGGCCGAGUUCCCGUCCCGGACCAACACUUAGAAGUUGCAGUUUGUUUCCUAUGCCCCCACAUAUCGAUUCUUUGACUUGGCAGUUUGAUUCCCAGUUUCUAGCUCAAGCCUUGUUGUCGGUGGGAGCAAGUCUGACUUCUUAGUUAAAGCAUUGUAAGCAAGUAGUCCAAGCCUAGGGUUCCGUGUUUUUAUUCCUUAGGCGCCAUUCUGAUUUAUGGUAUUGAAAGUCUCGGUUUUGCUAGUGCUCUGUAGUUAACAGUAUAGUUUGACUCUUACUUUGGAGUUGAUAUUGCUAUUAUAACCUAUGUGUGUAGCAUAGAAAUCUAGUAGACUUAUAGAGUCAAUAAAUUCCCUCAAUUACGCUAAGGCAAACCACUAUUAAAUAGAAUCUAAAUUAACAUAUCAUAUGACAAUUGAAUACUCACAUUUGAGAAUGAAAAGCUGUAAAGGUAGCUUCGAUCAGUAGGGUUAUUACAUAACAGGAUUAGGAGUAGAGUCGUCGGAUUCUUAUGUAGUAGAGGCAAGUCCUGAGUUCCGAAUUGAGUGCUUUUUCAUAGUAGGAGUAGUCGCGUUCUUGUUAACGGUAAUUCACUUCCUUAUUAGAAGGUCAAAUAAAAGGAUGAGCUAGUUCAACUCUGACUUGUAAAGAUGGUGUUCCAUCCUAUUCUAUUAGCGCAGCAGUCGAUUCUUAUGACUUGUAGUUGGAGAGCGAAACCAAGGAGAGGUGUCGUUAGGGUUGACAUUGGUAGCACUCUUUCUAUUAGUAGUUCGAUUUGGUAGUAGGUUUGAUUCCCGCUAUUGGUCUUAUCAGCCUUGUAAGCACGAGACCAGUAUCCUCAAUUAUGUGUUUCACUCUUUCCAGUAGUAGGCGCACCUUGUUUGUAUUAGUAUAAUAAGUCAAUAGCUGGCAAUGAGUAAUGAAAGAAAGAGGUCAGAUAGAGGAAAUAGUCAAUAGAGAAUGAAAGGCAGGCUCACAAUUUCACUAUAUACCUUACUUAAAUACCUUACUUAAGUCAAAAGUCUAAGUCACAGUGGCAGAGGAAUACAAGAUUUGGAUGCCGGGUAGUCAGAAUAGCAGUUAGAUGCCUAUACUAGGUUUGGAUGCUCAGAAUAACG